AUUAAAAUUAUUAUUUUUUUUUAUUAUUUAAUAAAAUAAUAUUUAGUUUAAUUAAUAUUUUAGAAACAAUAAUUUUUAUAAUAGUUAAUUAGUAUAGUAGUAGAAAUAUAUAGUAAUAUAUAAAAGAAAUAUUAAUUUUAUGUACCUUGUGUAUCAGGGUUUAUUAAAAAUAUAUUAGUUAAUGUUAAUAAUCUCGAUUUUAAAAGAGUUAAUUAAUUAUUAAUUUUAUUGUAAAAUAAAUAUUUAUAAUAGUUAAUUGGUAAUGAAACGUUAUUCGUGUUUAAAUAUAUCUAGUUUUUAAAGAAAAAAAUUUAAUUUUAUUUUUUAUUAUUUAUUUUAAUUAAUUAAUAAUUUUUUUUAAUAAUAAAAUUUUAAAUUAUUAGGGAUUAGCUUAGUAAUUAAAUUAUUAAAAAUAAGUAAAUAUUAUUAAUAUAAUAUUGUAGAAUUAGUAAUGUUCAUCAUUUAAAUUGUUAUAAUAAUUUUAUAUUAGUGUUAAUAAUUUAUAUUAAUAUUUUAAUUUUUAUAUUUAAUAAUUAAAUUUAAUAGUUAAAUUUAAGUAAUUAUGAUAAAAUUAGUAAAAUUAAUUGUAUUAAUAAAUUAUAUAUUUUAAUUAUUAAAAAGGAAUUAGGCAAUAAUAAAUUUUUCGCCUGUUUAUUAAAAACAUGUCUUUUUGAUUAUAAUUUAAAGUCUAGCCUGCCCAAUGAUAAAUUUAAUGGCCGCAGUAUUUUGACUGUGCAAAGGUAGCAUAAUCAAUAGUUUCUUAAUUAGAAGCUGGAAUGAAGGGUUGAACGAAAAAAUAUCUGUCUCUUUAAUAAUUUAGUUGAAUUUUAUUUUUAAGUUAAAAAGCUUAAAUACUUUUAAAAGACGAGAAGACCCUAUAGAGUUUUAUAAAUAAUUAUAUAAUUAUUUUUUGUAAUAUUAUUUUAUUAUUAUGUAAAAAUUUAUUUAAUUGGGGUGAUUGAUAAAUUUAAUAAACUUUAUUUUUAUAGUAACAUGUAUUUAUGAUUAAUUGAUCCAUUAAUUAUGAUUAUAAGAUUAAAUUACCUUAGGGAUAACAGCGUAAUUUUUUUUUAGAGUUCUUAUCGAUAAAAAAGUUUGCGACCUCGAUGUUGGAUUAAAAUUUAUUUUUGGUGUAGAAGCUAAAAUAUUAGGUCUGUUCGACCUUUAAAAUUUUACAUGAUCUGAGUUUAAACCGGUGUGAGCCAGGUUGGUUUCUAUCUUUAAAUUAAUUAAAAUAUUUUAGUACGAAAGGACCAGAUAUUAUUAAUAAUUAAUUAAUUUAAUAUGAAUUUAAU
rnacentral:rRNA from 1 species